CACGUAGGCACCAAGCGUUGUCCGGAAUUAUUGGGCGUAAAGAGCUUGUAGGCGGUCUGUCGCGUCUGCUGUGAAAGUCCGGGGCUCAACCCCGGACUUGCAGUGGGUACGGGCAGACUAGAGUGUGGUAGGGGAGACUGGAAUUCCUGGUGUAGCGGUGAAAUGCGCAGAUAUCAGGGGGAACACCGAUGGCGAAGGCAGGUCUCUGGGCCACUACUGACGCUGAGAAGCGAAAGCAUGGGGAGCGAACAGG
rnacentral:rRNA from 1 species